CAUACCAGAAACACCAUUUUAUAUAAUAUGCCAAAUAUACAUUUUUAUAAAAUCCCCAAAGUACGCUUGCUGACAUACAAGUUAAUAUCACACUGAAAGAAUUUUGAUCAAUCAUGCUUCCCUGCUGUGAUUGUUUAACUGGGAAAACAACUUUUUCCACAGGAAGGCAAGUCAAUUUAAGGAAUACAUGUUCAAAGUUUUCCUCUGUUAUGUAUAAUGAUGACCCCCAUCAAACAUAAUGUUAGCAAUCUUUACACCUUUUAAUUUAUUCUGAUUAUUUCUGUCUACAUGUGUGAAUUUGCCUUCAUUAGUUUCAGAAAAGAGCGAUGAUGUAACGGUCACGGGACGGCAGCACGAGACUCCGCAAACUAGUCUGUAAGCAAAGUAGAUGAAGGCAUCAAGGUUGCGGCCUGUCAUCAUUGUUAUUUUGCUUAAGGGACUGAAUAUGUAUCGUGUAGAAAUAUUAGCAUUUCCCUUAUAUCUACCAAAACUGCUUGUUUCACAGACUGCAGUUUUGUUUUGGUCCGAUGUGGUGUGCAAAUACAACUGUAUCGGCAAUGGGUUGUGGGGCAUUAACAUUUGUAACUCUAAUUUUGUUUUGACAGACUGUGAAAAGAACGUUGAGAACAUCACCAUUCUACAGGAAGACACAGUCCAGUAAUGGGUGUCAGAAGUUCAGUAGUGAACGACAGGAAGGACUGAUGCAUGUACUGAGACGGGUAGUGAGGGCCUACUCUGCGUGCUCAGAGUUCAAGCCCAGCAGGCUGCAGCGGGCCUGACAUAUUCCGGAACAGCAGCUAAGUCUUUGGAUGACUCCUCUGAAGAUGAAAACAUGGCGAGUUCUUCUCAAGAGAAGCAGUACAGGUGUGCCUCAGCUCCAUGGUCCCUCCUGCAGCCUCAGCUCCUGAUGCUAACCUCAUGUCUCCGUCACACCAAGCAGCAGACCUGGAGUGACAGACCUUUCUCCAGAGCUGCCCACUCCCUCUGAAACCCUCCUCUCCAAAACACUAUUUGUGGCGUUUUUAAAGUCUUAUUUCCAUGAGAAUUGUUGAUCAUAACAUUUCCAGCAGAUGCCUUAAUGUAAUGUUUGUGAACAAUAAA